rnacentral:misc_RNA from 1 species
UAGAACAUCACUUCACUGUCAAUUCUCUCUUGAGCUGCCAAGAUUCUUGUUUUGGGGUAAAAAAAGAUUGUUGCUUUUGUUGUUUAUAUGGAAUUCUGAUUUCUGGGUAUGUCUCAGGUUUUUGUUUGAGUUAGAAAUGAGGAAGCACAACACAGCUUUAACAAGAUUUGGGAGAAAGGUAAAAGGUUCAUAUCAAUCUUAUGGUCUUGGUGUUAAGUUAGCUGCAGUAGUAAUUUUGGGUCUUUGUUUUGUAUUCAUUUGGUCUGUGUUUUCACCUUCUUCUUAUUCAGUAGCCUAUCAAAGGGACACUUUUGAUGAUAUUAGAGAACCUAUUUCAUCUGCAAAUAGGAAAAAGGUUACACCUUUAGUUCCUUCAACUAAGAAAGAACAACCCCAUAAUAAGAAACUGAAACAUAGAUCAAGUUCUGGUGAGAAAAAGAAGAGGGUUGAUAGGUCUUCUUUGCCUUCAAAAUCUGGUGGUUGGCAUAAGAAUGAUAAAAGUGGAGUUGAUAGGAAGAGAAAAGGUGAGGAUCUGAAGUUACCCGAAAAGGUUGAUGAGGUGAAGGAACAAGAAUUGGAAGGAUCUGAAACUGAUGUGUUGGAGAAGGAGAAUGAGGAAGACAAAAUAGGAAAUGAUAAGCAAGAAGAAGAGAAAAAAGUAGUUGAAGUUAAAGAGAAUGAGAAAGAAAAAACAGAAAAUAAUAGUAAACAAGAAGGAGAAGGAGUGGAUGGUAAAGAGAAUGAGAAAGAGGAAAUAGAAAGUACUAAAGAAGAAGAAGGAGAAG